GACGAACGCUGGCGGCGUGCUUAACACAUGCAAGUCGAACGGAAAGGCCCGGCUUUUGUGGGGUGCUCGAGUGGCGAACGGGUGAGUAACACGUGAGUAACCUGCCCUUGACUUUGGGAUAACUUCAGGAAACUGGGGCUAAUACCGGAUAGGAGCUCCUGCUGCAUGGUGGGGGUUGGAAAGUUUCGGCGGUUGGGGAUGGACUCGCAGCUUAUCAGCUUGUUGGUGGGGUAGUGGCUUACCAAGGCUUUGACGGGUAGCCGGCCUGAGAGGGUGACCGGCCACCUUGGGCCUGAGAUACGGCCCAGACUCCUACGGGAGGCAGCAGUGGGGAAUAUUGCACAAUGGGCGGAAGCCUGAUGCAGCAACGCCGCGUGCGGGAUGACGGCCUUCGGGUUGUAAACCGCUUUCGCCUGUGACGAAGCGUGAGUGACGGUAAUGGGUAAAGAAGCACCGGCUAACUACGUG
rnacentral:rRNA from 1 species